AAGAAUGACUUAACUAUUUAUUGAGUAAUCCAGCUGUCGUUUCCUGUGAUCGCUUCUAACGUCGGCUUCUAAUGCUUCUAACUUCUAAUGCUGCAACUCUCGGAUCUGAAGUCGCAAUUCGGAAUCUUUUCCGCGUCAUAACUCCAGAUUAUUACAAGAAUUUAUCGCUGUCAAAAGACGAAUUGCAGAAGCGAAAGAAUCAAUGCUCGCAGCAUUGGCAUGAGUACGAGAGACCUAAAACACCAGAAGGAUUUUGGGAUCCAGAAUUUCCUGAAACACAGUCGUUGGAAUGUAUAGAACCAGCAUUAAAAAAAGGGCUGCAUUGAUUAGGAGAUCUUAGAAUUGAUAAAUUAAUAAAUGUAUUAUUACAAUUAAAAUAUAUGAAGAGCAAUCAAUCGUUGGGAGGAUGUAACGAUGAAAAGGUACAAUCGUUGGAAGGAUGCAACUAUGAGAAAAUACAAUCGUUGGGAGAAUGCAACGAUGAAAAUGUACAAUUGUUGUGAGGAUUCAACGAUGAAAAUGUACAAUUGUUGGGAGGAUGCAACGAUGAAAAGUUAUAAUUGUUGGAAGAAUGCAACGAUGAAAAGAUUUCUAAAUAUGGAGAAAGCACCACUGUAAACAACCAUAUUUCAAAGAGUCCACUAAUACAUGAACGUGAAAAUGAACCAAAAUCUCGACGUCAUUUAAUCAAAACUACUGCAAUUAUGAGUAAUAAAGUGUGUAAUGAUAAGUUAAAAGAAAAAAAACGUUGCUUAAAGAAAUUUCGAAAUUACAAUCAAGAAUUAAAGAAUUACAGGAACGCAAUAACAAAUUACGAAAUAAACGUAAUGAAAUAAAACAAAAGCUAGAGGAAGCAAUGUCCGAGUUAACAAAUGUAAGAAAACUAAAUGAACGGCGUUGAUCGAUAAAACUAACAAAUGCGAAGCAACGCUUAAAACCAUAUUGACUACCAAUAUCAACAUGCAAUAAAAAUAUAAUUAUAUAUAACUACUUGAGGAUUAAUAUCUAAAUCGUAUUUCUUUUAUAAAUAUUUUAUGUUGAUAAAGAAAUAAAAAUUUUAUUUUAAA